rnacentral:rRNA from 1 species
GAUGAACGCUAGCUACAGGCUUAACACAUGCAAGUCGAGGGGCAGCAUGAACUUAGCUUGCUAAGUUUGAUGGCGACCGGCGCACGGGUGAGUAACACGUAUCCAACCUGCCGAUGACUCGGGGAUAGCCUUUCGAAAGAAAGAUUAAUACCCGAUGGCAUAGUUCUUCCGCAUGGUAGAACUAUUAAAGAAUUUCGGUCAUCGAUGGGGAUGCGUUCCAUUAGGUUGUUGGCGGGGUAACGGCCCACCAAGCCUUCGAUGGAUAGGGGUUCUGAGAGGAAGGUCCCCCACAUGGGAACUGAGACACGGGCCAAACUCCUACGGGAGGCAGCAGUGAGGAAUAUUGGUCAAUGGACGAGAGUCUGAACCAGCCAAGUAGCGUGAAGGAUGACUGCCCUAUGGGUUGUAAACUUCUUUUAUACGGGAAUAAAGUGAGGCACGGGUGCCUUUUUGUAUGUACCGGAUGAAUAAGGAUCGGCUAACUCCGUG